AAGUAGGGUAUUUAGCUGUUAACUAAAAUUUCAUAGGUUUGAAUCCUAUCAAUCUAG
rnacentral:tRNA from 1 species